rnacentral:rRNA from 1 species
GACGAACGCUGGCGACGCGCUUAACACAUGCAAGUCGAACGGAAAGGCCUGCUUUCCCUUGUGGAUUGCGGGUACUCGAGUGGCGAACGGGUGAGUAACACGUGAGUGAUCUGCCCCCAACUUGGGUAUAAGCCUGGGAAACUGGGUCUAAUUCCCGAUAGGACUGCAGGGUGGUGCCUGUGGUGGAAAACGAUUUUCUAGUGGUUGGGGAUGAGCUCGCGGCCUAUCAGCUUGUUGGUGGGGUAAUGGCCUACCAAGGCGGCGACGGGUAGCCGGCCUGAGAGGGUGGACGGCCACAUUGGGACUGAGAUACGGCCCAGACUCCUACGGGAGGCAGCAGUGGGGAAUAUUGCACAAUGGGCGGAAGCCUGAGGCAGCGACGCCGCGUGGGGGAUGACGGCCUUCGGGUUGUAAACUCCUUUCGACCGCGAGGAAGCCACCUGGUUGGAAGGGUGGUGACGGUAGUGGUAGAAGAAGCACCGGCUAACUACGUG